CAGCAAUGGAUGAUGGCGACCGGCGUAAGGGUGCGUAACGCGUGAGCAACAUGCCCUAUACAGGAGGAUACUCCGGGGAAACCCGGUCUAAUACUCCAUAGUAUUAUUGAGAGGCAUCUCUUAAUAAUUAAAGCUUCGGUGGUAUAGGAUUGGCUCGCGUGACAUUAGCCAGAUGGUGAGGUAACGGCUCACCAUAGCAACGAUGUCUAGGGGUUUUGAGAGGAAGGCCCCCCACACUGGGACUGAGACACGGCCCAGACUCCUACGGGAGGCAGCAGUGGGGAAUAUUGCACAAUGGAGGGAACUCUGAUGCAGCAACGCCGCGUGAAGGAUGAAGGUUUUCGGAUCGUAAACUUCUAUCAGCAGGGAAGAAUGAAUGACAGUACCUGACUAAGAAGCCCCGGCUAACUACGUGCCAGCAGCCGCGGUAAGACGUAGGGGGCGAGCGUUGUCCGGAAUUACUGGGCGUAAAGGGCGUGUAGGCGGCUUUUCAAGUCGGCUGUGAAAUUCCUCGGCUUAACCGGGGGGGUGCAGUCGAAACUGAUUGGCUUGAGUGCAGGAGAGGGUGGUGGAAUUCCCGGUGUAGCGGUGACAUGCGUAGAUAUCGGGAGGAACACCGGUGGCGAAGGCGACCUCCUGGUUUGUUACUGACGCUGAGGCGCGAAAGCCGGGGGAGCAAACAGGAUUAGAUACCCUGGUAGUCCCGGCCGUAAACUCUGGGUACUAGGUGUAGGGGGCUUCGAUGCCCUCUGUGCCGUAGUUAACGCAUUAAGUACCCCGCCUGGGGAGUACGAUCGCAAGGUUGAAACUCAAAGGAAUUGACGG
rnacentral:rRNA from 1 species